rnacentral:lncRNA from 1 species
AGGGCAGUACAUAUGGAGGUAGAAGGGAGAAGAAUUUAUUUGUCAGCUGCCAUCAUACCUCAAAGAUGCACACCACAGGGCAUGAAUUUCCUUGUACUUCCCAAAUGUAACUAGGUGGGGGCUGAGCAGGGCUACCUUAGCAGGAGGUCUUUGGUAUAUUAAUAGGGAGGAUCCCUGGAAAACUUGGAUGUUGGAUGUGACAGAUGUGGGAUAAGGGCACAAACAGAGUGGGUUUGGGGAGCAGCAGACAGCCCAGGAUUUUGAGUUCAUUUCUUCUGGUGCAAAAGAUU